UUUUUUUGGUUUUGGUUUUGGUUUUGGUUUUGGUACUGGGAAUCAAACACAGGACCUCUUGCCAAUGAGCUACAUCCCUGGCCCAAAGAGAGAUUAUUUUUGAAAUGUCUACAAAAUCCUACCAAUGGCACAAAUAUUUACUACCUAAAUAAUGCACACAUCCAUCUGACUCUGAUAAUUGCCUUUUCCCCAGGUCAAACACUUCAGAGCUUUGCAGGAGCAAGCAAGGACUUACUUGGAUCUCCUUUGUUCCCUGUGUGACUUGUCGAAUUCUUCAGUAAAAACCACAGCAAAAGAUAUUCAACAAACAGAGCAAAUGAUUGAACAAAGGCUCACCCAGGCACAGAAUUUAACUCAGGGCUGGGAAGAGAUCAAGCACCUGAAGGCUGAGCUGUGGAUUUAUCUUCAGGACACCGAUCAGCAACUGCAGAAUAUGAAGAGGAGGCACUCCGAACUGGAGCUAAAUAUUGCCCAGAACAUGGUUGCCCAAGCAAAGGAUUUUGCUAAACAGCUACAUUACAAACAAGAGUCCAUGAGCACCAUCUUACAAAAGGUGAAUAAGUUAACAAAGAAGCAGGAGUCUCCUGAGCACAAGGAAAUAAGUCACUUAAAUGACCAGUGGCUCGAUCUGUGCCUCCAGUCAGACAAGCUAUGUUCACAAAGGGAGCAGGAUCUUCAGAGAACAAGAGAUUACCAUGACCAUAUGAAUGUCGUUGAAGCAUUCUUGGAAAAAUUCACUACGGAAUGGGAUAGCUUAGCCAGGUAAUAAAGUUCUCCAGGGGGUCACCAUAAUGCUAAGCCAGAAAUGUCUUAAUUACUUUAAAAAAAAUUUUUUUUUGUCUGUAUUGUUACCAUCAUUACCUACCAGUAUCAAUAUUGGUAAAACAUUAAGAACCUAAU
rnacentral:lncRNA from 1 species